AUUGAACGCUGGCGGGAGGCCUAACACAUGCAAGUCGAGCGAGAGGCGGACGGGUGAGUAAUGUAUGGGGAUCGGCCCGAUAGAGGGGGAUGACUACUGGAACCGGUGGCUACUACCGACUACUGUCGGAAGAACCCAUAUGGGAUUAGAUAGUAGGUGGGGUAAAGGAUCACCUAGGCGACGAUCUCUAGAUGGUCUGAGAGGAUGACCAGCCACACUGGGACGGAUACACGGCCCAGACUCCUACGGGAGGCAGCAGUGGGGAAUAUUGCACAAUGGGCGCAAGCCUGAUGCAGCCAUGCCGCGUGUAUGAAGAAGGCCUUCGGGUUGUAAAGUACUUUCAGCGGGGAGGCGUUACCCGCAGAAGAAGCACCGGCUAACUACGUGCCAGCAGCCGCGGUAAUAC
rnacentral:rRNA from 1 species